GACGAACGCUGGCGGCGUGCUUAACACAUGCAAGUCGAGCGGCAAGGCCCUUUCGGGGGUACACGAGCGGCGAACGGGUGAGUAACACGUGGGUGACCUGCCCUCAGCUCUGGGAUAAGCCUGGGAAACCGGGUCUAAUACCGGAUAUGACUCCAUGACGCAUGUUGUGGGGUGGAAAGCCUUGUGCGGCUGAGGAUGGGCCCGCGGCCUAUCAGCUUGUUGGCGGGGUGUAGGCCUACCAAGGCGACGACGGGUAGCCGGCCUGAGAGGGCGACCGGCCACACUGGGACUGAGACACGGCCCAGACUCCUACGGGAGGCAGCAGUGGGGAAUCUUGCGCAAUGGGCGAAAGCCUGACGCAGCGACGCCGCGUGAGGGAUGACGGCCUGGUU
rnacentral:rRNA from 1 species